AAUAUACGAGAAUGACGUACAAGUCCCAAAGAAAAAAGUUGAAGAACAAUGUUGUAAUAGUCGUAGUCGAAACAGCAGGAGUAUUUUACCUUCUUGAUUCCCCACCUGCCUUGAGAGAAAUAUAUGAGGGCAAAACCGAGGAAUAUGCACAAAAAAGCUCAUUAAAGGUACGCUACGCUUGACUGAUUUCUAUCCAGCUGCCUAGGCGCUAUCUACCUACCUGCCUGCCUGCCUGUUAGUGAACAGCGAGCACAACGAUUCUUGCUCGUAAUUUCGUAGCGGUCAGGAAAAAACAGAGGUAUCAGCAGCAACGAAGACAAUGAAGCAAUACCAUGGCGUUGCACGAGUAAAGAAAUGGUGGUCUGACUGUGGCUUGCAUUACUCGCGCUGCCUCUUGAGUUGUUGUUGGAGUGGUUCAGUAAAACAGCUGGGCUUGUGUUGAUCGGCCCAGUCGCCUGACGAUUAAACUCAUCAGAGAGCGGCAGUGGUAGAUACUACGGUAGUGAUGCCCCUUUCGACUAGCAAAGAUGGACGUCUGGUCUUGAACUGAGUCGCUUGCCCGAUCAGCUAGCUAUCUUGACCUGCUCUUUAUCCAUAUUGAGUGAAUACCCAUCGAACUAUUCCAUAACUCUCCUGGCUCACUAUACGCCCUGAAGGUACUGUUCCAUACGGCUCCCAGCUGCGUUUCGGUCUAACCUAACAUGACCAAGGCCACCUGAACGUCACCGAGAUAACGCUGCUGGGGGCUGCAAUGCUAGCUAUAGCAGUAGCGGUGGCGUUAAGGGCUCUACUACCAACAGAGAUUCUCAUUCGUUGCUGAUCCAGCGUUCGUUUCUUUUGAAGAAAUCAGGCCAUGCCGCGCUACAGAAAGAGUCCUGUAGAUGCUGUGCCCAUGGAUAACCCCUGAACGUCUCCAUUUGUCGUACUCGGCUCUCGUUCUUUCUAAUUCUAUUUGGCGAGUGGUUCUUCUACUGGGUAACUUUGACCGGCUCCUUGACAAAAUGGUAGCGCUUGCGUGCCAUAACGAAGGGUGAUAACUCUUCGAUGCUUGCUGGCUCGUUCGCUAAUUCAACUUAUUACAGCUGUACAUAGCUGUUCAAAUCGAACAAUGGAAGCCGGUAAAACCAUAGUAACAUUGGAAGUUCAUAGUUCGCCGGCUAGUUAUCGUCGGAUGUUCGUUACUGCCACUGGCAGUUCUACUUUAUCGCCAGAGUCCCGGAAGACCGAUUAGAUCUAGAACUCCUACAAAUCCCAAUGGCGUCAUCGGACAGCCACUCCGCGCUACAUCCAUAGCAGCUUUCAUCAAACGAACUCCGAAAUAGUGGCUGAAGCUCCGAUUCCCUGCAGCAAUAGCGACUACAAUGGAUGAGGGAAGCUGCUUCAGUCGAGGUCGUGAAGGAAAAUAUCAGAUACUUCCUGCCAAAGAGCCUAUCGGGCCUUAGCCAUCGAAGAAGAACUUGCACAUGAAGCCGAACAAGCGGAAGUAGCUAUCGACGAACGAAGCAGCACGCUAGAUAAUGGAACACAAUGGUCAACUGUGCAGCUGCCUGUUUGAACAAUUAGUAGAGAAGCCAUUCGAUGUUUGACGGAGUUUUGUGUUCCCUGUACACAUGCUAUGUUAACUCAGUACUACUAGAUGCAAGAUACUAGGCUGUACAUAUGCGUAAACGAUAAUGCAAUCAACAAAGGUAGACUCCUCUCUGGCAGGAGUUGAGUCGUCUUCACACCUAUUCCUGCUUGACAUCGACACUGAUAUUACUCCUGUUAUUGGCUUUAUUGUUGCCAACAUUGGAAAACGGUAGCCUUUGCGCAAUAGAUGUCGUGAUUAGAAGAUAGCGUUUUAAGAUCUUCCAUGGUGCACACCCUGCUCUUUUUAGCCCUGCCGGCAAGUUUUCCCCUCAGCGGAAGGCCAUUUUGUAUGCUUUAUAGAACCGCGCCAGAUACAUCAUCUCACAAAUCGUGAUUAACCUUCCACUAAUGUGCUAGUCUGUAUAGCAUCAUGUACCUAGACGCUAAGGAAAUAUCUCUACUAUGUAGGAGGCGAGGUAAAUUCUCCAGGUCGUAGAUGCUCUCGCACAACGAUACACCCACAUGUAGAAGGAAAAGCCUUUAGACACUCGGUCGACCAACGACAUAUGCCUACGCCCGGGCAUCACAAGUCACGGUAUAGCCAGUUCGGCAUGGCUUUUUGUCUUACGGGAGACGUUUCUUCCCGACGCUUCUUUUUCUCGUUUUUGGAUUUUUUCCCCCUUCUUGCCUCCUCUCCAACUUUGCCAGCAAAGUGGAUACGGCACAGGGCGAAGUCGUUUUGAUCUGCCGGCAGCAGCAACACCAGCAAAAAAAACAAACAAACAAGCAUUCCCCGAAACAUUGACUUGUAAGGGAUCAGGGGCAAAGAGGGCAGUAGCAGGCGAAAAAGAAAGACGGGCAGAAAAGACACCGGAGAGAAGGCUCUUUUCCUUCGUUUCUCUACCUCUCCACUCAUUCCAUCCCUCACAGUCACUCAGUUUUUCUCAACUCACUGGGGUGCCGCUGCAGCGUUGCUACUGUUCCUUUCGAGGGUCAACUGGGUUAUACUGGAAUACGUGGAUUAAGGGUGGAGUUCACUGUGUAAGUGGAGCCGCUAUCUGCAGUCGCUGGCCUUUUUCAUUCGCUGCAGUUAGCCCUAGCCACAGCUACUCAAUUUCGUCGUCUUUGAGUAUUAACAUUAUAAAGAACCACACUAAGAACAACGCUCUGCGUCCGUUUCAAAAAGAGGCUACUAUCUUGAGAGGCCGACUGGGCUGCAGGGAACUGUACAGUACCAACUCAACCAUUCACUACUGUAAACCCUCAUGUGGGCUGCGCAAGCUAAACAGCGGGCAAGCUGCUCCUUUUCUUUCUCGUUCUCUCCUCGUCUAUCUCAUAAGCUGCUAGAAAGACGACUCUCCUUUUUUCGGUCCCGUAUAAAUCUGCAGGGGCACCUUUACAAUGCGCUGGUGUGCCAAAGCCCCGCUACACCACUGUCGUUAGACGGACGCAUGUGAAAGCCCAACGAUACGCGUGAAAAGCGUUACAAAGACGAAACAUUCUGAAGUAACGACAUAAUGGCCAUAGUUGCUACCGACCAAAGUCCUCCAAUGUCCCAUCGACCGUUUCCUAGCUUGACUUUUAAAGAAGUUCAUCCCAUACAAAGGCAAAAUUUCCUUUAUGUAUAAACCGUAUUUAGAUCAAGUCUGUAUAUUUCCUAUCUAUCAUAGUCCAUUUUUGUCACACUAAAUACCAACCAACACAAUUGAAUUUUAUGAGUAAACUUUUA